CGGCUGGCUCAAUUGCUUUGUCAGUGGGUCUCCCACGUUAUCCAUAGAGUCUAUUCUUCACAUCUCGAUAUUUUUUUUUUGAGGUAGUCAUGUAUGAUAUGGUACCAUUAUUCGAUAUAUUUUGAUUUCUGAUGAGACUUCGGCUCCUUAACAAGUGCUAUGGCUCUAUUAUUAUCGCAAUAAAGUGGUAUGACAUCUAAUAUCGUAAACCCAAAUUUUAUGAUGAACUUCUUGAAUUAGAAGCCUUCUUUUGCAGCAUCUGAAGCAGUGACAUAUUCAACCUUUGUGAUC
rnacentral:lncRNA from 1 species